GCGAAGAAACCUUGCUCGUUCUCGUGCUAAUAACUAGGGGAAUGCCUGCUUGGACAUUCAGUUUUCAUCUCUUUCCGUUGCCAUUCGGGUGCAGAAGCGCCCGAACGCCCCUGAGUUGAGCUUAGUUUCAAUUGACCUUUCCUCGGACGAUAUAUACGAACGAGCUAAACGGGGAAGGAUGGACUCGUACCGUACCCUCCGCGGACAGGUGGGAACGAAGCAGCUGCAGCGCACCACACACCCACAGCGCAUUACGGUACUAGUGACUUCCAGCUGUGGAUCUCAGAGAUGAUGUUGAUGCUUCACCACAACUUUUGUACCAGUAGGAUUGUUUCACGUACCCUACAUGCUGCUGGGUUGACAUUGACCAUUGACGGCUGUUGUAAAUGGUAAAUUAGUUCUGCAACAACCUCAACAACGGCCGAAUGGUGGAAUUUCCCGCAGUUGUAGUAAGCUAGUACUGGUGCUCGCCUGCAGGCGAUCGCGACAGCAGCUGCUGUGAUGUUGAUGGCUAAGUUGCGAGAGGUGCUACGGCAUCGUAAGUAAACA
rnacentral:lncRNA from 1 species